ACGGAGGAUCCAAGCGUUAUCCGGAAUCAUUGGGUUUAAAGGGUCCGUAGGCGGCUUAAUAAGUCAGUGGUGAAAGCCCUACGCUUAACGUAGGAACGGCCAUUGAUACUGUUAGGCUUGAAUUAUUAGGAAGUAACUAGAAUAUGUAGUGUAGCGGUGAAAUGCUUAGAGAUUACAUGGAAUACCAAUUGCGAAGGCAGGUUACUACUAAUGGAUUGACGCUGAUGGACGAAAGCGUGGGUAGCGAACAGGAUUAGAUACCCUGGUAGUCCACGCCGUAAACGAUGGAUACUAGCUGUUGGGAGCAAUCUCAGUGGCUAAGCGAAAGUGAUAAGUAUCCCACCUGGGGAGUACGAACGCAAGUUUG
rnacentral:rRNA from 1 species